rnacentral:rRNA from 1 species
CGUGUAGGUGGUUUGGUAAGUCGGAUGUGAAAUCCUAAGGCUCAACCUUGGAACUGCAUUCGAAACUGCCAGACUAGAGUCCAGGAGAGGAAAGUGGAAUUUCCAGUGUAGGAGUGAAAUCCGUAGAUAUUGGAAGGAACACCAGUAGCGAAAGCGACUUUCUGGCCUGGUACUGACACUGAGACGCGAAAGCGUGGGGAGCAAACAGGAUUAGAUACCCUGGUAGUCC